UACGUAGGGUGCAAGCGUUAAUCGGAAUUACUGGGCGUAAAGCGUGCGCAGGCGGUUAUGCAAGGCAGGUGGGAAAUCCCCGGGCUCAACCUGGGAACUGCAUUUGUGACUGCAUGGCUAGAGUACGGUAGAGGGGGAUGGAAUUCCGCGUGUAGCAGUGAAAUGCGUAGAGAUGUGGAGGAACACCGAUGGCGAAGGCAGCCUCCUGGGUCAAUAUUGACGCUCAGGCACGAAAGCGUGGGGAGCAAACAGG
rnacentral:rRNA from 1 species